AUUUGCAUAAUAAUCUUUUAUUAUAUAGGAUGGGAAGACAGACAAUAAACAAGAGAUAAGUAAAGCAGGAAAGAGGGACUAGGAUAUUUAUGGGGUGAUGUUUGCAAUUUCAAAUCAGCAGGACCUCAUCAUAAAGGUGACAUCUGAGUAAUGGCCUACAGAAGAUUAAGGAACAAGCCAGUUUGGUCAAAGAGUGUUCCAGGCUGAAGGAAUAGCAGCUGACUCUGAUGUGGGAACAUGCCUGGUGUGUUCUACACAUGGUAAGGGGUGGGGGUCUCUGGAGAGGAAAGAAAAGGACUAUAAGACUGACAGUGUCAGAGAGGAAAUGGGGCCAUAUUGUGUGGCUUGGUUGAGUGAAAUGGGUGGUGAGCAGAGGAAUUGUGGCAUCUGUACCAACUAAUUGCUGGUUGGUGGGUGGGAGGGGGACAAGGAUAGCAAGAAUAAUUUAGACAGAAGAUGGUAGUGGCUUAGAAGCAGCGAAGAUAGGGGGAAAUGCUUUAGAGUCUGUUAUAUUUGAUUGUAGAGCUAGUGGCAUUGGCCAAUAGAUUUGAUAGGGGCUAAAAAAGGAAUCAAUGAUGACACCACAGUUGUUUUUUGCCUGCACAAGUAUAAGGAUGGCACUGUAACUCUCUGAGAUAAGGACAGUAGAGUAGGUUUUAGGGUAGCUCAGUUUGAAUGUUUUAGGUUUGAGAUGCAUUUUAGAUGUCCAACUGGAAUUGUUGAAGAUGCAGUUGAACAUAUUAUCUAAAGACCAAGGGAGAAGUCUGGCUACACAUAUAAAUGUAGGCGUUAUCAGCAUAGAUGCUUCUUAAAUCUAUGAGACUGAAUGAGAUCACCAGUGUUAAGAGGUUGAUGACAGCCCUCGUCAGGUAGAGCAUCAUCCUAAUACACCAAGGUUGUGGGUUCCAGCCCUGGUCAGGGCACACACAAGAAUCAGUCAAUGAAUGCAUCAAGAAGUGGACUAACAAAU